UCCCUGGUUGUCUAGUGGUAAGGAUUCGGGCGCUCACCGCGCGCCGGGUUCGAUUCCCGGUCAGGUAA
rnacentral:tRNA from 1 species